GACGAACGCUGGCGGCGUGCUUAACACAUGCAAGUCGAACGGAAAGGCCCUGCUUUUGUGGGGUGCUCGAGUGGCGAACGGGUGAGUAACACGUGAGUAACCUGCCCUUGACUUUGGGAUAACUUCAGGAAACUGGGGCUAAUACCGGAUAGGAGCUCCUGCUGCAUGGUGGGGGUUGGAAAGUUUCGGCGGUCGGGGAUGGACUCGCGGCUUAUCAGCUUGUUGGUGGGGUAGUGGCUUACCAAGGCUUUGACGGGUAGCCGGCCUGAGAGGGUGACCGGCCACAUUGGGACUACGAUACGGCGCAGACUCCUACGGGAGGCAGCAGUGGGGAAUAUUGCACAAUGGGCGGAAGCCUGAGGCAGCAACGCCGCGUGCGGGAUGACGGCCUUCGGGUUGUAAACCGCUUUCGACUGUGACGAAGCGUGAGUGACGGUAAUGGGUAAAGAAGCACCGGCUAACUACGUG
rnacentral:rRNA from 1 species